ACCCAAAUUAUACCACUCAAUCCAUACAAAUCUUAUAAUGUUAUGUUUUACAGAUGAGAAGAUCAGCCCCAAGGAUGAGGAUAUGAACCCAAGAAUACCUGUUGUAUUGCAAAGUCACAUAGCUGCAUUGCACAGGGCCAGAACAAAGAUAAGAUCAAACGGGAAGGAGAAAAAACUGCAAAUGUGGAAGAUGUAAGCAGAAAAUAUUUCUGGUAAGCGUUAUAUUUCUUUAGAUUAUUAAGAUGCUGAAAGUAAUAUAUAUAUAUAU
rnacentral:lncRNA from 1 species